rnacentral:rRNA from 1 species
CCUACGGGGGGCAGCAGUGGGGAAUAUUGGACAAUGGGCGAAAGCCUGAUCCAGCCAUGCCGCGUGUGUGAAGAAGGCCUUCGGGUUGUAAAGCACUUUCAGUGGGGAAGAAAGCCUUGGGGCUAAUACCCUCGAGGAAGGACAUCACCCACAGAAGAAGCACCGGCUAACUCCGUGCCAGCAGCCGCGGUAAUACGGAGGGUGCGAGCGUUAAUCGGAAUUACUGGGCGUAAAGCGCGCGUAGGCGGUCUGAUAAGCCGGUUGUGAAAGCCCCGGGCUCAACCUGGGAACGGCAUCCGGAACUGUCAGGCUAGAGUGUAGGAGAGGAAGGUAGAAUUCCCGGUGUAGCGGUGAAAUGCGUAGAGAUCGGGAGGAAUACCAGUGGCGAAGGCGGCCUUCUGGACUGACACUGACGCUGAGGUGCGAAAGCGUGGGUAGCAAACAGGAUUAGAUACCCCUGUAGUC